GAAAAAACGCUUUUACAUAGACAAUAUUGCGCUCCCUUCAUUACUUUACUAAUGUUCAAGAUUGUUCCCAAGUUCGGGUGUGUACGGCGUGUAGUAUCACAAGCACCUUGCGUCAGUGUCACUCUCAUUGGUUUUCGUUGUGUACGGCGUGUAGUAGCACAAGCACCUUGCGUCAGUGUCACUCUCAUUGGUUUUCAGCGGUAUAUCAAAUCUGAAUAUUAAUUUACGUUAAACACAACUCAUUGCCAGUUAGUGUCUCUCUUCAUCUGUGAGUUCCUCUGUGAAAGUUCCGCAUUCCCUGGUUUCCUUGGUAACCUUUGUUUGCUAUGAGCUGAUGUUUUAUUUCCAUUUUCCGGCCCAGUUGACGGAUUUUAUACUUCCUUUCGUCACUAAAUAGACUAACACCUAAGCGCUUUUCUAAUACGACAGUAUUAGAACUUUCCCGCUUGUUUUACGUUGUGCCUAAUGAAGAGGUUAGACUGCAACAUCCAUCCAGUCCGUAUUUAUCCAUGUUGCAUAUGCAAACACUUGAAGGCGCUUCUCUUUUCGAAUACUACGAAUUGAUAUCGGCCAAGCCUCCGCCCCCUCACCCCUCCGCCGCUGCCCGUAUCGGGGCGACGGAAACUUUGGCCCGAGAUCUAAUCGGAUAUAGACUCCAGCUCAGCCGAUUUCUCGAUGAGUUGACGCUGCUGUUGCAGCCGGGCCGACAACAUCCGAAUUUCAUCGACCUACGCUUUUCUUAAAAAAAGUUCUCACGGCAUAGGCAAAUUUCUGCGAGUGGAUUUGGGAAGCUUUUGACUUACUGUUAACCUCCGUUACAACAAAACGAAAAUCCCUCCUACGACACGCCUACAAAAUUCGGUUAUCAUUCAGGCAGCAAUGACGAGCAAAUCCGGAAUUCUCGACCCAUCUUAAUCCAGUGAUUAGGGGAUUUCUAUCCUUAAAAUUUUCGAUAUAAAAUAUAUACCUUCUAUAUACUUUUUUUAAUGAAGAUAUUACUUCUUUUUAAACUUACAUUUUUGAAACGUAGCAAAUAUUUGUAAAAACUUUUUCCAAGCGAUGACAUCGAUAUUAAUCUCAAUGAGCCGUAGUUGUGUUGAAAGAAACUAUACAAAUGAAUAAAAGAAGGAAAAAACCGAGUAGCACUCAAUUUUUGAUUUUAACCCAUUUUCGAUUUUGAGAGUUUGUUUGCGUCUAUACCACGCUGCAGGACAGUAAAAGCACAAAAUAUUAAAGAAAAAAAUUAAUGUGCUUUGGAAAAACACUGAAAUUGACACGGCAACACCUUAAUAUUUACAAAAUACACGUUAUAUUUUCCUUUAAUACAUUUUCCCCAUCAAAUUGAAUGAGAAUAAUCCACGCAGAGUGUGCACACAUUUCAAAAUCAUGAGUUGAAAAC
rnacentral:lncRNA from 1 species